CCAGAGCACUAGGAUUACAGGCGUGAGCCACCGCACUCGGCCCCUCCCUGGCUCUUGAAGUGUCUCACUCUUCUCUGCUCCUCCAUGGCUGUCCCUCCUCCUGCUUCUUUUCUCCCCUAAACCCUCUCCCUGGGCUUCCUCAACAGCUGCCCUGCGGGCGGGAGGAGACCUCUGCCCCAGCGGGUUCCUUUUUCUUCCAGGGAUACGUCCACACAGACUUCCCGCGCUCUCGCUGUUUGUCAUCGUUGUUGUUUUUGUUGUUUUACUUUUUAAUAUAAAACCAACACAUACUCAUCAGGAAAGAGCGGGUAGGGCAAGCCCUGGCUGAGGAAUUAAGGACACGUGGGUCGCUUCCACACCCUUUCUUUGUGACGCAUUUCUCUGUGAGACUCCAGCAGAGCCCUGCCAGUCUUCCCUGUCAUGGCGUCGGCCCCGCCAGCACACCCUCGUACUCACUGGCUGCUGGGAAGGGAGCUACGUCUCCUCAGGGAGUCUGAAGCACGAGAGGAAGAUGGAGUCCCAACGCCAGGGCAGUCAUCAGGGAUUCUUACCGGGGCAGGCGUGAGGGGAGUGGAGAACAUUCUCAUGGAAGAAGACGGGUUUAUAAAUUAAGCCAGAGAGUCUCGCGGUGAAAAUAAGAACAAGCUGGGAAAACUCAUACCUCCUGAUUUCAAACCUUACUACAAAGCUACAAUAAUCAAGACAGUGUGGCUCUGGCAUAAGGAUAGACAUAUAGAUUAAAGGAAUAAAACUGGGAUUCCAGAAAAAGAACCAUCACAUCUACAGGUAAUUGAUUUUCAACAAGGAUGUCAAGAUCAUUCUUUGGGGAAAGAAGAAUCUUUUCACCAAACCAUGCUGAGGUCAUUGGACUCCACCUGCAAAAGAAUGAAAUUGGACCCCUACCUCAUACCAUAUAUAAAAAUUAACUUGAUAGA